CCCCUCUCAGGAUGGAAUCUGGAGAGUUUCCAGUACUCUACCGGUCUGGGCUACGGGAGGGAGAGUGGAGCAGAGGCCUGUCUGUUCCAUUCCUAGCUUGGUCAGUGGCUAGCGAGUGGAAGUCCAUCUGCUGCAAGG
rnacentral:snoRNA from 1 species